NGGGAAGUGGCUCAGUUUGGUAGAGCACCUGGUUUGGGACCAGGGGGUCGCAGGUUCGAAUCCUGUCUUCCCGA
rnacentral:tRNA from 1 species